rnacentral:rRNA from 1 species
CCCUUAGAUGUUCUGGGCCGCACGCGCGCUACACUGACGAAUGCAACGAGCUUAUAACCUGGGCCGAAAGGUCUGGGUAAUCUCCAAAUUUCGUCGUGAUGGGGAUAGAUUAUUGCAAUUAUUAAUCUUCAACGAGGAAUGCCUAGUAAGCGCAAGUCAUCAGCUUGCGUUGAUUACGUCCCUGCCCUUUGUACACACCGCCCGUCGCUCCUACCGAUUGAAUGGUCCGGUGAAGCGUUCGGACCGUGGCCUUUGGACGGUUCGCCGUCUGUUGGCUGCGGGAAGUUCGUUAAACCUUAUCAUUUAGAGGAAGGAGAAGUCGUAACA